UAUUUCACCAUAUUGUAAAUAAGAUUAUCUCGACAUGUAUGAAUGAAUCUAAUUUUAAAAGGUUGUAGCAUGUUUUCUGAAUGUUUUAAGCGUCACAGUGACAGCUGUCCUCAUCCAGAUUAAUCCAGGUUAGAAAAAAGAAGAGAAAAAAAAAA